CAAAUACUCCCUCCGUCCGAAAAUACUUGUCAUUAAAAUGGAUGUAUCUAGAUGUAUUUUAGUUCUAGAUACAUCCAUUUUUAUCAAUUUUGAUGACAAGUAAUUCCGGACGAAGGGAGUAUUUA
rnacentral:pre_miRNA from 1 species